AGGGACUUCAUCAGAGCCAGUCACUCCAGAAGAUUUAAGUGCCUUCAUAAAAUAUUCUGAUGGUAAAAUUAGUCUUUUGGAGCCUCCUGUCCCAACAGAACCACAGGCAGUUGAUGAUGGGGAUGAAGAAACAGUUUCUGCUGCCACAGAAAUGCCUACAGAG